CUACGGGGGGCUGCAGUGAGGAAUUUUGCGCAAUGGGGGAAACCCUGACGCAGCAACGCCGCGUGAGCGAAGAAGGCCUUCGGGUCGUAAAGCUCUGUCAAGUGGGAAAAAAGCCUUUUGAUUAAUACCCAAAAGGUUUGAUGGUACCACUGGAGGAAGCACCGGCUAACUCCGUGCCAGCAGCCGCGGUAAUACGGAGGGUGCAAGCGUUGUUCGGAUUUACUGGGCGUAAAGGGCGUGCAGGCGGUUUGGCAAGUCAGAUGUGAAAGCCCUGGGCUUAACCCGGGAAGUGUAUUUGAACUGCCUUUCUUGAGUAUGGGAGAGGAGAGUGGAAUUCCCAGUGUAGAGGUGAAAUUCGUAGAUAUUGGGAGGAACACCCGUGGCGAAGGCGACUCUCUGGACCAAUACUGACGCUGAGACGCGAAAGCGUGGGGAGCAAACAGGAUUAGAUACCCGCGUAGUC
rnacentral:rRNA from 1 species